AAGGAAAAGGAAAAGGAAAGAGAAAAAUAAAAAGAGGUAAAAACAGUGUGUUUAUCUCUGGGAUUAAAACUGGUGUUUUCGGCCCUGGCACCAGUCAGUGUCCAGCCAGCCAGUGGUGCUGUGCUGGGGGUGCUGGGCACAGGCUGGGAGGGAGCAGCCACAAAGCAAACUCCCAAGCUGGAACCACGGCUUCCCAUACCUGUCACCAUGUGAAUUUUCAGCUUGAGCACACAAGGCUGAGCUCAGGGGACACUGUCAUGUAGAUUUAGGGUUUUAUCUCCUUUCCUCUCCAUUAGCUCUGAUACCCUCUUAUUAUGCUGAAAACCGAAACGCUUUUUCCUCCAGCGGCUCUCCCCUUUCCCCGUGGGCAAAUAUCGAUCUGCCCGUGUCCUCAGCACAGGUUGAAAGCAGCCCCGCUCGCCUGAGCCUGCCUGGGGACCGAGCGCUCGGCCGUGCCACCUCUGGUGCCAUCAAGGAUGGAGGAGAAGGCUGGGGAGGAGGGGACGGAGAUCAGUUCGUUUUUCUCUCCCCAUCCUUUCUCUCCCUGCGCUGGCAGUGACAGGGCGCUGAGCAGGACGGCUCCGAUUGCGCCUGGCAGGUGGAAGGGGGGAUGAAAAGGGAUGGAAAGGGCAGAAAGGGAAAGAGCAGCUGGGGUAACUGCAGGCUUCUCCCAGCCCGGCUGCAUGGGCAGGUCCUGCAGCACCUGGAAAGCUCGGAAGGCAGCGGAGCAGCUGCUCUGCCCCCAGCUCGGGGCUGGCCGGUGCGAGAGGCUGCCCCUGCUCCUCCUGGGGCGUGAUUUUGAGCCAAUUUAAUUAAACUGCUUGGAAAGGUUGCAAGGACUCAUCUAUUUCGGCUCGAACCAGGCCUGUUUUGACUUAGCGCUGGCUGAUGAGGAAUUAGCCGAAACAAACCACUCAGAAAACAAAAUUAGAGGGCCCACACUAACUUUUGCACCAGAUUAAGUUGAAUUAAAAAGCAAUUGAAAUGUAAUUUUCCUGUCUCGAGCAGCCAAGAAAACGAGAUAAUGCAACCAGUGGCACUUGAAACUUAAAAAUAAGGCAGCUAGGAUCGGCACAACCAGCUCUUAGUGCCCACGAGCAGCAGGUUUAUUGGAGGUCUGUGAAGCCCCCUCCCCACGCACCUUCUGUGCAAAGCUUUGCACAACCUGCAUCCUUUGCCCUGAAAGGGAGCCUUGAAUCCACGAUUUGGAGCAGCCCAGGUGCUGCACAGGGCAUUUCCGUGGGUGUUUCCGUGCUGGAAAUAGCCACACAGUGGAGUUUUUUUGCUGUAGCUCUCAUAAUUUACGUUGAAACAGCCACGGUGCCACACGGGCAGCAGGGUCGGAGGGCUCACUGCACUCCUGGGGGCUGGAGGCAGAGGGUGCAGACCCCAGCGCUGCGUCCUGUCAUUUAAAAUGUGGCUUUAGUGACAUAUUUUAAUAGCUGCUUUCCCCCCAUUUGGCAAAAGCUGCUCUUUGUCCUGCCCCAACCUCUCUGUUCAUUCCAGGCCACGCUCCCCACCGUGCCCCUGCCCAUGUGGGUUUUACGGGGCUUUGCCAAAAAGGGUGAUGUUUUGGAGGGCUGGCAAAGCCAAGGUGAGUCCCCAGAGACUCUUCAGAGUCCCCAGAGCUGCCCAAGUGCCACACCAAGCCCUGCUGCGAGCGGUUAUUUGCAGCCCUGGCUGAAAUCUAAAGGAUUUGUGCAGACCAUAGGUCCCUGCUGGGUGUCUCCGUGCUGCCUCCUGCCACAGCCCGGUC